rnacentral:rRNA from 1 species
CCCAGUGUAUGAAAAUGGCCGCGGUAUUUGACCGUGCGAAGGUAGCAUAAUCAAUAGUCUAUUAAUUGUAGUCUGGAAUGAACGGUUUAACGAGGGAUAACUUUCUUAAUCUUAUAGUUGAAUUUAAAUUAUUAGUGAAAAUGCUAAUAUAAUGAAGGGGGACGAGAAGACCCUGUGGAGUUUUAUAUUUAAGCAAUUUUGUUGGUAAUAAGUUUGUUUAUUAUAUUUUGCUGGGGCGGCAAUAAAGUAACAUUUAGUAUUAUAGCUCUAUUAAGAGAUAUUUGAUCCAUUAAUAGUGAUUUUUAGACUAAACUACCCCAGGGAUAACAGCGUAAUUUUAUUUUAGAGUUCUUAUCGAUAAUGAAGUUUGCGACCUCGAUGUUGGAUUAGGAUUCCUUUAUAGUGCAGAAGCUUAAUGAGGUGGUCUGUUCGACCAUUAAAUUCCUACAUGAUCUGAGUUCAAACCGGAGA